AUUGAACGCUGGCGGCAGGCCUAACACAUGCAAGUCGAGCGAGCGGCGGACGGGUGAGUAAUGUCUGGGAAACUGCCUGAUGGAGGGGGAUCACUACUGGAAACGGUAGCUAAUACCGCAUACCAUCAGCUGUGCCCAGAUGGGAUUAGCUAGUAGGUGGGGUAACGGCUCACCUAGGCGACGAUCCCUAGCGGGUCUGAGAGGCUGACCAGCCACACUGGGACGGAGACACGGUCCAGACUCCUACGGGAGGCAGCAGGGGGGAAUAUUGCACAAGGGGCGCGAGCCUGAUGCAGCCAUGCCGCGUGUGUGAAGAAGGCCUUCGGGUUGUAAAGCACUUUCAGCGGGGAGGCGUGACCAACAGAAUAAGCACCGGCUAACUUCGUGCCAGCCGCCGCGGUAAUAC
rnacentral:rRNA from 1 species